GACAGAGGGUGCGAGCGUUAAUCGGAGUGACUGGGCGUAAAGAGCGCGCAGGCGGUCGUUCAAGUCGAGUGUGAAAGCCCCCGGCUCAACUGGGGAGGGUCAUUCGAUACUGAUCGACUCGAAGGCAGGAGAGGGAAGUGGAAUUCCCGGUGUAGUGGUGAAAUGCGUAGAUAUCGGGAGGAACACCAGUGGCGAAGGCGACUUCCUGGCCUGUUCUUGACGCUGAGGCGCGAAAGCUAGGGGAGCAAACGGG
rnacentral:rRNA from 1 species